UGAUGGGAAUUUAAACCUCUUCCAGAGUAUCAAUUGGAGGGCAAGUCUGGUGCCAGCAGCCGCGGUAAUUCCAGCUCCAAUAGCGUAUAUUAAAAUUGUUGCAGUUAAAAAGCUCGUAGUUGAAUUUCUGCUGCAUUGCUUGUGUCCCUCUGGGGUCUGUGCAUGUGGCUUUUUUCGGACGGAGUUUCUUUGUCUGAAUGUUUACUUUGAGAAAAUUAGAGUGCUCAAAGCAGGCUUUCGCCUUGAAUAGUUUAGCAUGGAAUAAUAAAGUAGGACUUUGGUUCUAUUUUGUUGGUUUUAGGUACCAAAGUAAUGGUUAAUAGGAACAGUUGGGGGCAUUCGUAUUUAACUGUCAGAGGUGAAAUUCUUAGAUUUGUUAAAGACGAACUACUGCGAAAGCAUUUGCCAAGGAUGUUUUCAUUAAUCAAGAACGAAAGUUAGGGGAUCGAAGACGAUCAGAUACCGUCGUAGUCC
rnacentral:rRNA from 1 species